UAUUGGGAAAGCUGGUGAUGACUGUGGUAGAUAUCUAAUUUGUGUGUAAAAUUAUGUAAAUCUAGUGUGACGUAAUUGAUUUAGGGUGUAUGAAAAUUCCGAACAUGUAAUGAUCAUAAGGCAAUGUGGCUGGUGGAGCUGUGGCUUGAGUAGAAACCACGCCGGUAAGACGCCGAGCAGUGUAAAAGGCGAAAGUGACUGCAUCCAAUCGCUCGGAAGUCGCGUCAAAUUCGGCCCCGCAGUUGGUGUUAACGGUGUGAAUUAUCGUCUGCACCAAUGCCCUGCGGUCAAGCAGUGUAUGGCCGAGCACCGUUGGAAGAAAGGCUUAAAAGCAGCGAAGGAAGCGUGUACGUUAGCUCAUCGAUCCACCUAGAGGGUGUCGAUGAUUUCUCAAAAAUUACCUCUUUGUCAAGACUGGCAAAUAGUGUCGAGCAGUCCCGGAAAUAAGUGCAACGUACACAUCACGACCGCCCCGCGGGUCACAAUAGCGUGAUGACCCUGAUGUACCACAAACGAUGUAAUUUCCUUUCACCCUUUGCCUGAACCGACGCGGUGAAAUGGCGGGGCAAGUGAACCACCAAAGCAAAUGGUUUGAAUUUUGCAUAAAACCAGCACAAAGAAACAUCCAACGACUGCCGACGAUCUCGGUGGCUUUGCUCGUGCCUGUUGAAACCUACGGUAAACAAUAACCUUUCUACCCUUUGUGAACGCCCCUCACCUUCCCCUCGGUUUCGGUUCGCUUGGCUUACGAAAUCCAUCUCGAGCUAUCUUACACCGGGAAUGGUUGGCCUCGAAAAUGUUUCACUUCCUUGCCCGGCUUUUUAACGGCACCUGGGGGAAAUGGGCGUGUGUGUGUGUGUGUGUGAAGAUGAGAAGCAAAACUUCACCACAGCCAGCAUACAAUGCGCCAGGCCCGAU